AGAGACGCGGCAGCAGAGGGGUUCAUGGCGCCUGAACAUCUGCCCCGCUCUCCCAGGGCGACUCGUCGGGGCCAACCCUAUUAAUUUUCAUCCCGGCCGGCGGCACAGCCGCGGGAACAGCUUCGGCUGAAGGAGGCCGGUGGGAGAUGCCGCCUCGGGGUGCGGUGCCGUGCGGGCGGCCGAGCUCUUACCAGGUCGGCAGCCGCUUUGACGGCUUCCUGCAGCCCGUAGAGCUUCCCCGCCACCAGGAAAACCCCAGCGGUCCAUACGGCACAGGCCUCGUGCAGCCAGUGCUCCUGCGUGUCACCCGCCGGCUCCUGCGGCGGGGACUCGGCCUUGUGACAUUCGUGCCGCCGGGGCUUUUCGGCCGCUUCCUCGCCCUCUGUCCUCUCGUCACAGCAGUAGCAGCUCUGCAGCCUACGAAACAUGCCCCGCGGGCUGGAGCGCAGCGCGCUCUGCUUGGCCGCCUCGGCGGCACCCUCCGGCCGCGCCGCCUUGCCACCGGCACCGCAGCCACCCUCCGUCCCCCGGGGCGCCCGCUCGGCCACGGCGGCUGGGAUGGCGUCCUCGCCCGGCCCCUCCGCCCGCGCCUUCUCCUUCAGCCGCGACUUCUUCUUGGGCAGGCAGUCCUCGGGGUAGUAGGGCCCGCAGAGGUCCCCCAGGUCCUUGUAGUUGGCGGGGUUGCGGCACAGGCAGCAGACCAGGCAGGCAGCGCUCAGCGCCUUCGACACCACCGGCCCCAUGUGCAUGGUGGAGGAGGCGGGCAGGGCUGCCCGCGGUCGCGGCGCCGGCCCGCUUGGUCCCCGUUGCAGCCGGGCCUCCUCGCCGGGCGAGUUGACGACGGUGCAGGCGGUGGUGAACUCGCCGCGCCGUUCCACGCGGACGUACGGGGCGAAGGGGGGGGCCCGGCUGUCCGCCCGCAGCCGCUUGCAGGAGAUGUACUUCAGCCGGAUCUCGGGCUCGGCGGGGUGCAGCAACGGGGCUUGCUGGGCCUGCCGCCGCCGCUUGCCGCGGCUCUUGCACCGCGCCGGCACUGCCUUGGCCUUGCCGUGGGCCAGACGCUUCCGCUGCCGCUUGGAGUAGCCGUUGUAGUUGGAGUGGUUG
rnacentral:lncRNA from 1 species